GAGGAAUCAGAUACUGACUCAUGAAAGUGGAGAAAGAAGCCCAAAAAAGAGGCUUCAGCUUGAAAGGGCUGAGGUGGGGAGAGCAGUUAGAGGGAGCCCUGCUGCAGUAGAAGGAAGCACAGCUGGCCCUCAAAGUGUGACUGGUGUCCCAAGCAGGAGGCUGACCCAGGGACAGGAAGAGGAAGUGGGAUUGCUCUGGAGAAGCCAUAGAAGAACCAAAUCAGCACAUCAGACAAGCUCCCUGGUUCUGGAUGCAUGUGAUCAAAAUCCUCAAUGACAAGAUAUGUCUCCAAAUGAAGAAUCCGGCAGGGAAGAAGCUGUGAUCAAGAACGGGAGCUGAACGUUUAACCCAUUUAGACUCAAAAUGAAUGGGAUGUACAGGUCUGAAGGAGAAAGCUCCCGCAGUGUCAGUGCCAUGGGUGACCAAACUGGGUCUGUACCUGUGACGGAGGCAGAGCUGGCAAGGGGUGCUCAAAUUACCACCUCUCUUUGACAGUGGAAAAUCAGAGGGCCCUGACAUCAUGGUGAAGGAUUCGGCCAGCUGUGGACUCAGACAGCUGAAGGAGGAUGGAAACAGACAGGAAGUCCAGGCUGUGCUGUGCCCAGCCCAGAGGCCUCCGGCUUCCCUACACAGGAUUCCAGUCCCAGGGACACCGGGGAGCCACGGGAGUCCAGAAGACCUCUGGGUGCUUCCCCCUGCCCUGCAUUUCUCUGUCCUCUCUCCCAUGCCUCUGGAUAAUGGAAAUGGUUCUUAAUAAAUUCCCACUUCUCACAAGCUUUACAGUAAAGAUGAUCCUCCUGGGAGAUGAUCCUGGGACAGGCUCGGGGCUGGCUGCAGGGCAGAGGGGCCAGGCCUGCAUGUGACACUGACCCUCCCUGGUUUCCAUGGUCACUGUCCCUGAGGUGCUGUCUUCAUCCUGCCUGGAAGUCUCCAGUAGCAUAAGGAAGCACAAGGAAGACAGGGAAGUGGCAUGGGUGUGGUCCCCAGAGUCACUUGGGCAUCUCUUGACUACACAGCUGAGUUUCCUGGUGGUCUCAUGCAAAGAGUUGAGUCUUUCAAAAAUGGUGACGUUUUCUGCUUUUUAAAGCAAUUAGGGAAGCAGCCUGACACAGGUAUGAACCCCUCAGGCAGCUUGAGUUUUCAGGGGGUGCUGAGCAGUGAGCCAGAUAUUCUGGGGAUCAGAGGAGGACGGAUGACAGGGAGAGCAGCCUACGGAGAUGGAGAAGGUGGCAGAACGGGGGUCUUCCCCAAGGCAGGUCCCAGGUCUGGAUGCCAUGUUCCCAUUUUAGGCAGGGACUUGGGGGCACAAGAAGCCCAUCAGGGUGCUUCCUUGGGGUUCCCAUGGAGCCUGGGGAUGUCCAGGAAGUACCCCCCUCGGUGGCCAGCCACCCCGCGCAGUCUUUACUAUGAAGUGACUCUGCCUGCUGGUCAUCACGGCCAGGGUGGUCUUGGAGUCUGACCGGUCCUCUAGGUUGUCCUUCACCUGAGAGCAGCACCAAGGGAAGCUGGAAAGAGCUGAGAUGGGG
rnacentral:lncRNA from 1 species